rnacentral:ribozyme from 14 species
UUUUUUUUCUUUUUUCAUUCUUUCCUUUUUUUUUUUUAAUAACCUGCCGUUGAGAUGGAGAGGCUGCAAGAAAGAG